ACGGGAGGCAGCAGUCGGGAAUAUUGCGCAAUGGAGGGAACUCUGACGCAGUGACGCCGCGUAUAGGAAGAAGGUUUUCGGAUUGUAAACUAUUGUCGUUAGGGAAGAAAGAAAUGACAGUACCUAAGGAGGAAGCUCCGGCUAACUAUGUGCCAGCAGCCGCGGUAAUACGUAGGUGGCAAGCGUUAUCCGGAUUUACUGGGUGUAAAGGGCGCGUAGGCGGGGAUGCAAGUCAGGUGUGAAAUCUAUGGGCUUAACCCAUAAACUGCAUUUGAAACUGUAUCUCUUGAGUGUCGGAGAGGUAGAUGGAAUUCCUAGUGUAGCGGUGAAAUGCGUAGAUAUUAGGAGGAACACCAGUGGCGAAGGCGAUCUACUGGACGAUAACUGACGCUGAGGCGCGAAAGCGUGGGGAGCAAACAGGAUUAGAUACCCUGGUA
rnacentral:rRNA from 1 species